rnacentral:rRNA from 1 species
CCUACGGGAGGCAGCAGUGAGGAAUAUUGGUCAAUGGACGAGAGUCUGAACCAGCCAAGCAGCGUGAAGGAUGACUGACCUAUGGGUUGUAAACUUCUUUUAUAAAGGAAUAAAACGAGGCACGUGUGCCUUUUUGCAUGUACUUUAUGAAUAAGGAUCGGCUAACUCCGUGCCAGCAGCCGAGGUAAUACGGAGGGUCCGAGCGUUAUCCGGAUUUAUUGGGUUUAAAGGGAGCGUAGGUGGGUUGUUAAGUCAGUUGUGAAAGUUUGCGGCUCAACCGUAAAAUUGCAAUUGAUACUGGCAGUCUGGAGUGCAGGUGAGGUAAGCGGAAUUCGUGGUGUAGCGGUGAAAUGCUUAGAUAUCACGAAGAACCCCGAUUGCGAAGGCAGCUUACUAAACUGUGACUGACAUUGAUGCUCGAAAGUGUGGGUAUCAAACAGGAUUAGAUACCCCAGUAGUC